UAUAACAAGGAAAAUUUCUCUUGCUAUCUGGGAAUGAAAUAACCAAAUACAUUCCUUCAGCCUGAAGUACCCAAAAUGCCUUGAUUAAAAAUGCAGACAAAGAAGUGUAGCGAUGUGAUUCAUUUAGUGGACGGGGCGCAGCCAGGUAGAGAGCUUGUGGUCACACUGCUCCAAAGCAUCUGUCUGGAUCAUGGGGGAAAAAAAGAUAAAAUAAAGUGAAUGCUAGAUGUUCAUGCUGGAAAUCAAAGCCUGGAAAUAGAAGAUUCACAAGCAAAAUUCCAAAUAAUAGUAGGUUCCAUGCCUCACUGCAGUGCUCAAAGGAAAAGAAGCAUGAAGGCUGCAUGCCGGAAGACUGGAGAACAAGUAUUAAACCAAGGACAAAAUACGCUCAAGAUCCAUGUUUGUCAGGGUCUGCAGCUUUGUGUGAUCACUAUCACGCUGCAGAAUGAAGUGAUCCUUACUUUGGUUUGAUACAUACCGUGUUGUUAAAUUGGGCAUAAAUGAAAUACAUAUUGAGGUCCCCUAGGCCUGUGUUUGGUGAGCUUCCUUCUUUCAUUAUGCUUUCUUGCAACCUGCAGCCUGGUGGUAUGCUGGCAGGCUCAUAGUGUGCCACUGCUCCCCGCUGUGAGAGCUCAGAA